rnacentral:rRNA from 2 species
UUGAACGCGGGCGGCAUGCCUUACACAUGCAAGUCGAACGGCAGCACGGGGGCAACCCUGGUGGCGAGUGGCGAACGGGUGAGUAAUACAUCGGAACGUGUCCUGUAGUGGGGGAUAGCCCGGCGAAAGCCGGAUUAAUACCGCAUACGAUCUACGGAAGAAAGCGGGGGAUCGCAAGACCUCGCGCUAUAGGGGCGGCCGAUGGCAGAUUAGCUAGUUGGUGGGGUAAAGGCCUACCAAGGCGACGAUCUGUAGCUG